AAAUGCAAGAGUCAUACACAAAUAUCCCCCAUCCCUUUCCUCUUUACGAUUCAAAUACACAGAAACCCUAAAUUUUGAGCAUUAACCUUGAUAAACAGUCGCAUCAGUCAACCCCCUCCCCCCGCUCUAUACCUCUAUAAACAAUCGGCGGAAUGGUGGUCGUGGUCGGAUGUUGCCGGUGGUGGAGCGGAGGAGAUUGAUGACGAUAACUGUGGCGGCCUUUGAGGAGGUUAGAUGUGGUGAUCCGAUGGGCAUGUGUGAAGGUGUUUGCUGGCGGCUGUUGGUGGUGUACGGCUACCUAAGUAACGCAAGAGGUUCCGGUUUCAGAACUUGUUUUCCACCAUCACACACCAGCCUCAAUGCUCGAGCCGUCGCCCCCUGAACCAACGUCGGAUGUCGUUUUUACAACCUUUUAUGUGAUUAAGGCACAGAUGCAACAACUUAGUUCUAAUCUUCCUGAGGGCUCGAUCGAUAAGCCUGGACCAGAUGAUGUUUUUUCAUAAGUAAUGGGUAAUGAUCGAAAUGGUGAUGAGGUUAUGUAUGGCCUGGGUGUUCGUGCUGCUGAUGUUUGGGGUGUAAUACCAAGUCGUUCGGCAUGUCAUAGAGAAAACAUCCAAUUGAAGUCUCAAUGUGAAGAACUUACUAGUACUGUGGUUCUGUCCAGUUACGAGCCCAAGUAUCAGAGAUGGAAGGGUCGAGGGGUAGUUCCAGUGUUCAACCUCUUGCAUCACAACAUUUCCCCAAUGUAACCAAUGCACAUUAAUGUUUACGGGUCGGAGAUGAAGUUUUCCUCAAAAGCAUUCUAAACUCUACCAAGACUGUAGCAAGAGGAAGGGUCCAGAGCUUGGACCCAAAUGAUCUAGUUGGUGGUAUAGAGAUUGGACCAUAAUGGUGUGAGGUAAACGUUCAAGUACCAAUAAAAAAGAUGAAAACUUGGUAAGACCAUUUGGUUUAUUUUCUACAAUUCAAGAUUGUAUUGGUGCAUCCAUCGCAUGGCCCUAUCCGUUCAUAUCGGUAUGUAUUUGUUAAACUUGUGAUACAAAUAAUUUUAAUAUCAUGGAACUUAAUGCUUAUACACGGAUGGUUUAUUUGUAGGUAGUCCAUGAGGAUUGA